rnacentral:rRNA from 1 species
GACGAACGCUGGCGGCGUGCUUAAUACAUGCAAGUCGAACGGAGAGGGCGGAGUUUGCUUGUCUGCAUGAGUUGCGAACGGGUGAGUAACGCGUGGGUAACCUGCCUGGUAGUGGGGGAUAACUAUUGGAAACGGGAGCUAAUACCGCAUAAUAGUAGAUGUUGCAUGGCAUUUGCUUAAAAGGUGCAGUUGCAGCACUACCACAUGGAGCUGCGUUGUAUUUGCUUGUUGGUGGGGUAACGGAUCACUAAGGCGAGGAUACAUAGCCGACGGGAGAGGGGGAUCGGCCGCCCUGGGAGGGUGACAGGCCCCAUAGGCCUACGGGAGGGAGCAGUAUGGAAACGGCGGCAAGCGACGGGAGUCUGACCGAACAGCGCGGCGUGAGUGAAGAAGGUUUUCGGAUCGUAAAGAUCGGUUUUAGGAGAAGAACGAGUGUGAGAGUGGAAAGUGCACUGUGUGACGGUAGUGGACCAGAAAGCAACGGCUAACUACGUG